GACGAACCGUGCGAAUGUUGUUCGGAAUCACUGGGCUUAAAGGGAGCGUAGGCGGGCUAUCAAGUCUGGGGUGAAAUGCCGCGGCUCAACCGUGGAACUGCCUUAGAUACUGACGGCCUCGAGGGAGAUAGGGGCAUGCGGAACUGUAGGUGGAGCGGUGAAAUGCGUUGAUAUCUACAGGAACGCCGGUGGCGAAAGCGGCGUGCUGGAUCUCUUCUGACGCUGAGGCUCGAAAGCUAGGGGAGCAAACGGG
rnacentral:rRNA from 1 species